CAAUAGCGUGUAUUAAAGUUGUUGCAGUUAAAAAGCUCGUAGUUGGAUUUCUGGUGGGAGCGAUCGGUCUGGCGCUUAGCGCGAGUACUUGCAUCGUCUCCGGCCAUCCUUGGGGAAAGUCUGUCUGGCAUUAAGUUGUCGGGCAGAGGAUCCUCAUCGUUUACUGUGAAAAAAUUAGAGUGUUCAAAGCAGGCUUAUGCCGUUGAAUAUAUUAGCAUGGAAUAAUAAGAUAGGACUUUGGUACUAUUUUGUUGGUUUGCGCACCAAAGUAAUGAUUAAUAGGGACAGUUGGGGGUAUUCGUAUUCCGUUGUCAGAGGUGAAAUUCUUGGAUUUACGGAAGACGAACUACUGCGAAAGCAUUUACCAAGGAUGUUUUCAUUAA
rnacentral:rRNA from 1 species